rnacentral:rRNA from 1 species
UACGAAGGGGGCGAGCGUUGUUCGGAUUUACUGGGCGUAAAGGGCGCGCAGGCGGCUAUCCAAGUCAGGCGUGAAAGCCCCGGGCUUAACCUGGGAGGUGCGUCUGGGACUGGGUGGCUAGAGAUCGGGAGAGGAGAGUGGAAUUCCCAGUGUAGAGGUGAAAUUCGUAGAUAUUGGGAAGAACACCGGUGGCGAAGGCGGCUCUCUGGACCGGAACUGACGCUGAGACGCGAAAGCGUGGGGAGCAAACAGG